rnacentral:rRNA from 1 species
GACGAACGCUGGCGGCGUGCUUAACACAUGCAAGUCGAACGGAAAGGCCCCUUUGGGGGUCCUCGAGUGGCGAACGGGUGAGUAACACGUGAGUAACCUGCCCUUGACUUCGGGAUAACUUCAGGAAACUGGGGCUAAUACCGGAUAGGAAUCCUUGCUGCAUGGUGGGGGUUGGAAAGCUUCGGCGGUUUUGGAUGGACUCGCGGCUUAUCAGCUUGUUGGUGGGGUAGUGGCUUACCAAGGCUUUGACGGGUAGCCGGCCUGAGAGGGCGACCGGCCAAAUUGGGACUGGGAUACGGCCCAGACUCCUACGGGAGGCAGCAGUGGGGAAUAUUGCACAAUGGGCGGAAGCCUGAUGCAGCAACGCCGCGUGCGGGAUGACGGCCUUCGGGUUGUAAACCGCUUUCAGCAGGGGCGAAGCUUGUGGUGACGGUACCUGCAGAAGAAGCACCGGCUAACUACGUG